rnacentral:rRNA from 1 species
CCUACGGGUGGCAGCAGUGGGGAAUAUUGGACAAUGGGCGAAAGCCUGAUCCAGCCAUGCCGCGUGUGUGAAGAAGGCCUUCGGGUUGUAAAGCACUUUCAGUGGGGAAGAAAGCCUUGGGGCUAAUACCCUCGAGGAAGGACAUCACCCACAGAAGAAGCACCGGCUAACUCCGUGCCAGCAGCCGCGGUAAUACGGAGGGUGCGAGCGUUAAUCGGAAUUACUGGGCGUAAAGCGCGCGUAGGCGGUCUGAUAAGCCGGUUGUGAAAGCCCCGGGCUCAACCUGGGAACGGCAUCCGGAACUGUCAGGCUAGAGUGCAGGAGAGGAAGGUAGAAUUCCCGGUGUAGCGGUGAAAUGCGUAGAGAUCGGGAGGAAUACCAGUGGCGAAGGCGGCCUUCUGGACUGACACUGACGCUGAGGUGCGAAAGCGGGGGUAGCAAACAGGAUUAGAUACCCUGGUAGUC